AAUGAACGCUAGCGGCAGGCUUAAUACAUGCAAGUCGAGGGACAGCACAGGUAGCAAUACUGGGUGGUAACCGGCAAACGGGUGCGGAACACGUACACAACCUUCCUUUAAGUGGGGGAUAGCCCAGAGAAAUUUGGAUUAAUACCCCGUAAUAUAGUUGAAUGGCAUCAUUUGAUUAUUAUAGCUACGGCGCUUAAUGAUGGGUGUGCGGCUGAUUAGAUAGUUGGCGGGAUAACGGCCCACCAAGUCUACGAUCAGUAGCUGAUGUGAGUGCAUGAUCAGCCACACGGGCACUGAGACACGGGCCCGACUCCUACGGGAGGCAGCAGUAAGGAAUAUUGGUCAAUGGACGCAAGUCUGAACCAGCCAUGCCGCGUGAAGGAUUAAGGUCCUCUGGAUUGUAAACUUCUUUUAUUUGGGACGAAAAAGGGCCUUUCUAGGUCAACUGACGGUACCAGAUGAAUAAGCACCGGCUAACUCCGUGCCAGCCGCCGCAGUAACAC
rnacentral:rRNA from 1 species